CGUAGUACGAGUUUCGACGUCGUCGGACGUCGACGGACGAACGCUGGGCGCGUCGACCUAAUACAUGCAACGUCGACGGCGGACCGGACGUUGGGGCGUUGCCGUUGAGUUCGGUCACGGCGGCCGGGACGGUGGAGUAACCGACGUGGGCGAACCUGCCCGCAAGACCGGGAUAACUCCGGGAAACCGGAGCUAAUACCGGAUAACACCGAAGACCGCAUGGUCUUCGGUUGAAAGGCGGCCUUUGGGCUGUCACUUGCGGAUGGGCCCGCGGCGCAUUAGCUAGUUGGUGAGGUAACGGCUCACCAAGGCGACGAUGCGUAGCCGGCCUGAGAGGGUGACCGGCCACACUGGGACUGAGACACGGCCCAGACUCCUACGGGAGGCAGCAGUAGGGAAUCUUCCGCAAUGGGCGAAAGCUUGACGGAGCGACGCCGCGUGAGCGAAGAAGGCCUUCGGGUCGUAAAGCUCUGUUGUGAGGGACGAAGGAGCGCCGUUCGAAGAGGGCGGCGCGGUGACGGUACCUCACGAGAAAGCCCCGGCUAACUACGUG
rnacentral:rRNA from 1 species